GAUUCUCAAGACUGCCUUUGCACCAGAGUCAUCCAAGAGAGCAUAAUAAAACACAGAUUCCCAGCUUCACCUCCGAUCAACAGUCUCCACAUCUCUGGGGAUGGGGACUGCAAAUCUGCAUUUUAUGUCUCCCAGGGUCAGUCUGAAGCUCAGUCAUGGGCCUCUGCUGACCAGAACAACCAGCAUUUUGCAGAAAUUGUCCACUAUGAGAAAUCUGGCUGACUGAAGAGGCAGUGCCCAGUAGAAGAAUAGAUUCAAGAAAUAGUAUUUUGCCUUCAAAAGUAUUGUGGAUACAUGAAAAGAUCUUCUGUGGUAUGACUGAUCCUAGACCCACAUCUCUCAGGAGUGGCCAUGCAGAUAGGCCUAUGCAUAAAGGCCCUGAGAACAAGUCCUGUCUGCAUUGUAUCCCCAGUUCCUGACAGUCUGCCACAAGUCACAAAAUCAUUAUUUAUGU